ACGUCCAUCGGGCGUUCCCGUCAUGACACAAAAACGCCCAUCAGGCGUUCCUGUAGCGUUUCAUCGAUCAAUCAAGAAGAGGUGAGUGAGUUUCGCAAGGCAUGCUGGGUAUGCUACCCUUCCUUUUUUGGCGGUUUUACCUCGUAGUAACUUUCCAGAAAAACGAAAGGGUUAUGAUGAGAGAUUAUGUCAUACCCUGGCACAUGCUUUGUCCAAUGGACCAUGGAAGGGACUUUACUUGGCUGACGAGUACGCAAUGUAUUCUACCCUCAAAAGCAAUAUGAUUUCAGUGAGGGGGACAUGCUCUCUAUCAGGAGGUGGUGGUUGGACAGCUGUUGGAGACCUUUAUACUUGAAAGCCCUGCAGAACUAGCUGGCUCCUUCUCACCCUCUCCAUCUCCCCAUCUCAGUCACACCUUCCAAUCACUAAGCAGUGAAAGCCCUGCAGGACUAGCUGGCACACCAAGCUCACCCUCUCCAUCUCCCCAUCUCAGCCACACGCUCCAAUCUGGCACAACAGAGGACAGGCCAUUCUUACCACCCGAAGUCCUUCAGCAAAUUGUACAAGAGACGCUGAGACUGGACAUGGCGAUGCUUGGCGUGUUCAACAGGGUUUCAAACACAUUCCGAGAACUAAUCAAGCCUCUCCAUCCUUCCAUAUAUAUAAAUGACAGUUUGGCAGGGGACAUUAAGCUUAAUAAAGACAAUCUCAUAUACAUAACGGUUAGAAAGAUUUACAACAAUGCAGGCUGUGGCAGUGGCCUUGCGCUACGCCUCAAA